UAAUAAGUGUUUUAUGGCACUUUUUAAAUCCAUAUCCACCUUGUGUGCAAUGUCAGUCGAUCUUCUUCAUGGAGAUCGACCAAACAUCAACCUUUAUCUUUUAACUCUUUGCCUGAAAAAUAUUAUGAAUAAACAAUUCAAAAUA
rnacentral:misc_RNA from 1 species